rnacentral:lncRNA from 1 species
AUUUAUUAGUAAAGCUUGGGAAAUGUUCGUCUGAAAUUGCGUAAUGCGCAACAUUGAAAUUACGAUAAACAAUCAAUAGUGGCUCGAAUCAAAUCUAGACAACGUUCGUCGUGGCAGCUUUAUUUGGCAAAGAUGAAGGCGAAUUCCGACAAACCGGACAAGAGUUAUGCAACUUGAGCCACGGGUCGAUGCAUUCGGUGUGGAAGCAAUGUUCACAUUCGGGUAAGCACUUAACGGUCUCUUCACUUGUGUAUUCUGAUAAACAAAUGGGACAGAGAGUGUCAUUUCGCCAAGGGACACUCUUGGCUUGUUGUUGGAUUGGGAUAAAAAUGAUACAGACGGCAGGAGUUAUCACUAUGAAGAAUGCCAAGAUUUUGAUUUCAAGUUGGGGUGUAUAUGUGAGAACUUAUAGGACGAGAGGGUUACCAGAAUCAACGUAUGUGAAGCAUUUGACUUUGAGGAUGGUAUUGUUUAUGAAGCUACAUAACGGACUAAAAUCAACACAACCUGUGCAAUCCGGUGAGUCCCAUUUCAGCCAGAGGUCUUGUUUGUUGAGAUCACCUGCGAGUGGUGAAGAGACCGGAAGAAGUAGUGUCUUCAAGGUUUGACAAGAGGACGGCAUUGAACCGGUGAGAUCUGAAGGUGUGGAAUUAGUAAGGCAAUGGAUGGGUUCCAAAGAAGAGGAUUUGACGUUUUCGUUAUGACAGCUCAAGAAAGUGUAGUUGACAAGGUGAAGAGGAGAAAAAGGAGACAUUGAAGCGUCGAAGCUGAGAAGCCGUCUGGCUAAGCAGUUAUCGGGGUCUCUAAGGUGAAUACGCUGCGACUUUAUGUCUUGGACGAGAAAUCGUCUGGAAUUUGGAAGCUUUAAGGCUGUCUCACAAUGGAGGUUGAAUCCUGGGUAGUCACAUGACGAAGAUUGCUCAGGAGAUAGCCAGAAAGGGAAGCUAACGUCAAGGUUGUUUCCUCCACAUGAAGAACUGUAGCAACGUUUUGGUUUUGAGGCAUUUAGGAGAGGAAAGUAGAAGAAGAAGAAGAAAUAGAGAAGAAGAGGGAAUUGUUUUGAGAAAGUCAUAUUGUGAGGAGAAGGAUUUGUAUACCAGAAAUACUGACUAUGAGACAAUGCACUGUGAAAGAAUCAGAGAAGCUGCUGGGAGAUUCUGAUGGAAACAAUGUCACCGUCUGUUCCUGCUUUCAUUGUGUGGUACUUCACAAGGAUUCCUGCAAUUCAAAUAUCAACUGCAUGGGGUGCAAUAACUGCUUUAGGUUGGGAAUCAUCUGCCUCUCCGGUCCAAGACUUGAGGUUGAGAAUACCUAGACAGAUUUCAUGUGGAAAUGUAUGAGAGACAAAGGAGUAUGAUUCAAAGAGGAGUAAAGGAACAUAAAAGUAAGUAAUGAAGUUACCUGAGGAUGAAGAUUUUUUAAGGUGUUUGAGGUCAAAUAUGGCU